AUGUCCACUCCACAUUAAUGCCUCCCAUUCAGCAUGGUUUGGAGGCUGUGGACGGACAAACAGUAACACUGUCUGUUUAGGAGGGCUGCACACAGUUUGAGUGCUUUUCCUUAAAGGCUCGACAGGACAUU